rnacentral:rRNA from 2 species
GGGUUGUGAGGUUAAGCGACUAAGCGUACACGGUGGAUGCCCUGGCAGUCAGAGGCGAUGAAGGACGUGCUAAUCUGCGAUAAGCGUCGGUAAGGUGAUAUGAACCGUUAUAACCGGCGAUUUCCGAAUGGGGAAACCCAGUGUGUUUCGACACACUAUCAUUAACUGAAUCCAUAGGUUAAUGAGGCGAACCGGGGGAACUGAAACAUCUAAGUACCCCGAGGAAAAGAAAUCAACCGAGAUUCCCCCAGUAGCGGCGAGCGAACGGGGAGCAGCCCAGAGCCUGAAUCAGUGUGUGUGUUAGUGGAAGCGUCUGGAAAGGCGCGCGAUACAGGGUGACAGCCCCGUACACAAAAAUGCACAUGCUGUGAGCUCGAUGAGUAGGGCGGGACACGUGGUAUCCUGUCUGAAUAUGGGGGGACCAUCCUCCAAGGCUAAAUACUCCUGACUGACCGAUAGUGAACCAGUACCGUGAGGGAAAGGCGAAAAGAACCCCGGCGAGGGGAGUGAAAAAGAACCUGAAACCGUGUACGUACAAGCAGUGGGAGCACGCUUAGGCGUGUGACUGCGUACCUUUUGUAUAAUGGGUCAGCGACUUAUAUUCUGUAGCAAGGUUAACCGAAUAGGGGAGCCGAAGGGAAACCGAGUCUUAACUGGGCGUUAAGUUGCAGGGUAUAGACCCGAAACCCGGUGAUCUAGCCAUGGGCAGGUUGAAGGUUGGGUAACACUAACUGGAGGACCGAACCGACUAAUGUUGAAAAAUUAGCGGAUGACUUGUGGCUGGGGGUGAAAGGCCAAUCAAACCGGGAGAUAGCUGGUUCUCCCCGAAAGCUAUUUAGGUAGCGCCUCGUGAAUUCAUCUCCGGGGGUAGAGCACUGUUUCGGCAAGGGGGUCAUCCCGACUUACCAACCCGAUGCAAACUGCGAAUACCGGAGAAUGUUAUCACGGGAGACACACGGCGGGUGCUAACGUCCGUCGUGAAGAGGGAAACAACCCAGACCGCCAGCUAAGGUCCCAAAGUCAUGGUUAAGUGGGAAACGAUGUGGGAAGGCCCAGACAGCCAGGAUGUUGGCUUAGAAGCAGCCAUCAUUUAAAGAAAGCGUAAUAGCUCACUGGUCGAGUCGGCCUGCGCGGAAGAUGUAACGGGGCUAAACCAUGCACCGAAGCUGCGGCAGCGACGCUUAUGCGUUGUUGGGUAGGGGAGCGUUCUGUAAGCCUGCGAAGGUGUGCUGUGAGGCAUGCUGGAGGUAUCAGAAGUGCGAAUGCUGACAUAAGUAACGAUAAAGCGGGUGAAAAGCCCGCUCGCCGGAAGACCAAGGGUUCCUGUCCAACGUUAAUCGGGGCAGGGUGAGUCGACCCCUAAGGCGAGGCCGAAAGGCGUAGUCGAUGGGAAACAGGUUAAUAUUCCUGUACUUGGUGUUACUGCGAAGGGGGGACGGAGAAGGCUAUGUUGGCCGGGCGACGGUUGUCCCGGUUUAAGCGUGUAGGCUGGUUUUCCAGGCAAAUCCGGAAAAUCAAGGCUGAGGCGUGAUGACGAGGCACUACGGUGCUGAAGCAACAAAUGCCCUGCUUCCAGGAAAAGCCUCUAAGCAUCAGGUAACAUCAAAUCGUACCCCAAACCGACACAGGUGGUCAGGUAGAGAAUACCAAGGCGCUUGAGAGAACUCGGGUGAAGGAACUAGGCAAAAUGGUGCCGUAACUUCGGGAGAAGGCACGCUGAUAUGUAGGUGAAGUCCCUCGCGGAUGGAGCUGAAAUCAGUCGAAGAUACCAGCUGGCUGCAACUGUUUAUUAAAAACACAGCACUGUGCAAACACGAAAGUGGACGUAUACGGUGUGACGCCUGCCCGGUGCCGGAAGGUUAAUUGAUGGGGUCAGCGCAAGCGAAGCUCUUGAUCGAAGCCCCGGUAAACGGCGGCCGUAACUAUAACGGUCCUAAGGUAGCGAAAUUCCUUGUCGGGUAAGUUCCGACCUGCACGAAUGGCGUAAUGAUGGCCAGGCUGUCUCCACCCGAGACUCAGUGAAAUUGAACUCGCUGUGAAGAUGCAGUGUACCCGCGGCAAGACGGAAAGACCCCGUGAACCUUUACUAUAGCUUGACACUGAACAUUGAGCCUUGAUGUGUAGGAUAGGUGGGAGGCUUUGAAGUGUGGACGCCAGUCUGCAUGGAGCCGACCUUGAAAUACCACCCUUUAAUGUUUGAUGUUCUAACGUUGACCCGUGAUCCGGGUUGCGGACAGUGUCUGGUGGGUAGUUUGACUGGGGCGGUCUCCUCCUAAAGAGUAACGGAGGAGCACGAAGGUUGGCUAAUCCUGGUCGGACAUCAGGAGGUUAGUGCAAUGGCAUAAGCCAGCUUGACUGCGAGCGUGACGGCGCGAGCAGGUGCGAAAGCAGGUCAUAGUGAUCCGGUGGUUCUGAAUGGAAGGGCCAUCGCUCAACGGAUAAAAGGUACUCCGGGGAUAACAGGCUGAUACCGCCCAAGAGUUCAUAUCGACGGCGGUGUUUGGCACCUCGAUGUCGGCUCAUCACAUCCUGGGGCUGAAGUAGGUCCCAAGGGUAUGGCUGUUCGCCAUUUAAAGUGGUACGCGAGCUGGGUUUAGAACGUCGUGAGACAGUUCGGUCCCUAUCUGCCGUGGGCGCUGGAGAACUGAGGGGGGCUGCUCCUAGUACGAGAGGACCGGAGUGGACGCAUCACUGGUGUUCGGGUUGUCAUGCCAAUGGCACUGCCCGGUAGCUAAAUGCGGAAGAGAUAAGUGCUGAAAGCAUCUAAGCACGAAACUUGCCCCGAGAUGAGUUCUCCCUGACUCCUUGAGAGUCCUGAAGGAACGUUGAAGACGACGACGUUGAUAGGCCGGGUGUGUAAGCGCAGCGAUGCGUUGAGCUAACCGGUACUAAUGAACCGUGAGGCUUAACCUUACAACGCCGAAGGUGUUU